rnacentral:rRNA from 1 species
GGAAUGAGCGGCGGACGGGUGAGUAACACGUAGGCAACCUGCCUGUAAGACUGGGAUAACUCGUGGAAACGCGAGCUAAUACCGGAUAACACUUUUCAUCUCCUGAUGAGAAGUUGAAAGGCGGCUUUUGCUGUCACUUACAGAUGGGCCUGCGGCGCAUUAGCUAGUUGGUAAGGUAACGGCUUACCAAGGCGACGAUGCGUAGCCGACCUGAGAGGGUGAUCGGCCACACUGGGACUGAGACACGGCCCAGACUCCUACGGGAGGCAGCAGUAGGGAAUCUUCCGCAAUGGACGAAAGUCUGACGGAGCAACGCCGCGUGAGUGAUGAAGGUUUUCGGAUCGUAAAACUCUGUUGUUAGGGAAAAACAAGUGCCAUAGUAACUGAUGGCACCUUGACGGUACCUAACCAGGAGGCGGCGGGGUAACUACCUGCCCCCAGCCGCGGUAAUACAUAAGUGGCAAGCCUUGUCCGGAAUUAUUGGGCCUAAACCGCUCCCAGGCGGUUCUUUAAUGC